UAAUGGGUCAGCGACUUAUAUUCAGUGGCAAGGUUAACCAUCUAGGGGAGCCGUAGGGAAACCGAGUCUUAACUGGGCGUUCAGUCUCUGGAUAUAGACCCGAAACCAGGUGAUCUAGCCAUGGGCAGGUUGAAGGUUGAGUAACAUCAACUGGAGGACCGAACCGACUAAUGUUGAAAAAUUAGCGGAUGACUUGUGGCUAGGGGUGAAAGGCCAAUCAAACCUGGAGAUAGCUGGUUCUCCCCGAAAGCUAUUUAGGUAGCGCCUCGGACGAAUACUACUGGGGGUAGAGCACUGUUAAGGCUAGGGGGUCAUCCCGACUUACCAACCCUUUGCAAACUCCGAAUACCAGUAAGUACUAUCCGGGAGACACACGGCGGGUGCUAACGUCCGUCGUGGAGAGGGAAACAACCCAGACCGCCAGCUAAGGUCCCAAAUUACUACUAAGUGGGAAACGAUGUGGGAAGGCUCAGACAGCCAGGAUGUUGGCUUAGAAGCAGCCAUCAUUUAAAGAAAGCGUAAUAGCUCACUGGUCGAGUCGGCCUGCGCGGAAGAUGUAACGGGGCUAAGUAGUAAACCGAAGCUGCGGCAAUGCACUUUAGUGCAUUGGGUAGGGGAGCGUUCUGUAAGCGGUUGAAGGUGUGUGGUAACGCAUGCUGGACGUAUCAGAAGUGCGAAUGCUGACAUGAGUAACGAUAAAGGGGGUGAAAAACCUCCUCGCCGGAAGACCAAGGGUUCCUGUCCAACGUUAAUCGGGGCAGGGUAAGUCGACCCCUAAGGCGAGGCCGAAAGGCGUAGUCGAUGGGAAACGGGUUAAUAUUCCCGUACUUCUUACAAUUGCGAUGGGGGGACGGAGAAGGCUAGGUGGGCCUGGCGACGGUUGUCCAGGUUCAAGUGCGUAGGCUGAGAAAUUAGGUAAAUCCGGUUUCUCUUAAGGCUGAGACACGACGUCGAGCAUCUACGGAUGUGAAGUCAUUGAUGCCAUGCUUCCAGGAAAAGC
rnacentral:rRNA from 1 species